CUGUACGAGUUCAAGACAUGCAGAAAAUCGUGCAUUGCAGAUAGGCAACAGAUGAUCCUAUACAAACAGGUACCGCUGCGCAUUUACGACCUCACACCAUCUGUCAGCACGCAUGAUAAGGACCUGCAUGCGUCAUAAACCUAAGCGAUAAAGGAUAAUGUUAUCCUAUUUUACAACUGUCCAAACUAGUAAACUAUAAGCAGAUAAUAAUUUGACCUAAACAAACAUUAGUUCUUAAGAUCUUGUAUAUAAAAACCCUGCAUAUUCCACAAUAAAAUCAGUACUCAACGAAAA